AGCCUGAUGCAGCGACGCCGCGUGAGGGAUGGAGGCCUUCGGGUUGUGAACCUCUUUCGCCAGUGAAGCAGGCCUGCUCCUUUUUUGUGGGUGGGUUGACGGUAGCUGGAUAAGAAGCGCCGGCUAACUACGUGCCAGCAGCCGCGGUAAUACGUAGGGCGCGAGCGUUGUCCGGAAUUAUUGGGCGUAAAGAGCUCGUAGGCGGCUGGUCGCGUCUGUCGUGAAAUCCUCUGGCUUAACUGGGGGCUUGCGGUGGGUACGGGCCGGCUUGAGUGCGGUAGGGGAGGCUGGAACUCCUGGUGUAGCGGUGGAAUGCGCAGAUAUCAGGAAGAACACCGGUGGCGAAGGCGGGUCUCUGGGCCGUUACUGACGCUGAGGAGCGAAAGCGUGGGGAGCGAACAGGAUUAGAUACCCUGGUAGUCCACGCCGUAAACGUUGGGCACUAGGUGUGGGGGGCCUUUUCCGGGUCUUCCGCGCCGUAGCUAACGCAUUAAGUGCCCCGCCUGGGGAGUACGGGCGCAAGGCUAAAACUCAAAGGAA
rnacentral:rRNA from 1 species